UACGUAGGGGGCUAGCGUUGUCCGGAAUCAUUGGGCGUAAAGAGCGUGUAGGCGGCCCGGUAAGUCCGCUGUGAAAGUCGGGGGCUCAACCCUCGAAUGCCGGUGGAUACUGUCGGGCUAGAGUGCGGAAGAGGCGAGUGGAAUUCCUGGUGUAGCGGUGAAAUGCGUAGAGAUCAGGAAGAACACCGGUGGCGAAGGCGCUCUGCUAGGCCGCAACUGACGCUGAGGGACGAAAGCUAGGGGAGCAAAUGGG
rnacentral:rRNA from 1 species